rnacentral:rRNA from 1 species
GACGAACGCUGGCGGCGUGCUUAACACAUGCAAGUCGAACGGAAAGGCCCUUCGGGGUACUCGAGUGGCGAACGGGUGAGUAACACGUGGGUGAUCUGCCCUGCACUUUGGGAUAAGCCUGGGAAACUGGGUCUAAUACCGGAUAGGACCACGCGCUUCAUGGUGUGGGGUGGAAAGCUUUUGCGGUGUGGGAUGGGCCCGCGGCCUAUCAGCGUGUUGGUGGGGUAAUGGCCUACCAAGGCGACGACGGGUAGCCGGCCUGGGAGGGUGACCGGCCACACUGGGACUGAGAUACGGCCCAGACUCCUACGGGAGGCAGCAGUGGGGAAUAUUGCACAAUGGGCGCAAGCCUGAUGCAGCGACGCCGCGUGAGGGAUGACGGCCUUCGGGUUGUAAACCUCUUUCGCCAGGGACGAAGCGCAAGUGACGGUACCUGGAGAAGAAGGACCGGCCAACUACGUGCCAGCCGCCGCGGUAA